CACCCCACCUCCCCCCAGACCCAGGAGGACAAGACCUUGGCUAUUUCCCUCUAUCCACGCCCUUCACGUUUUUAUUUAAUGACGGUUUUUAAUAGUCAUUUCUGCCCAGGCCCUUGCUCACUAUUCUAUUGUUAAAUUAUUUUUUUCAGGUGGAAACAGCUCGUAAGACAAGGUCGAAGGAGGACUAUUCCAAGGUGGUGUUGGUGUCUGAUAAACUCUGUCUGGGACAGUUCAAUAGCCCUUUACAGUAUACAGUGUGGAGGGAAAUGCUGGAUAGCAUCCACCCUGUAGCUGGGGUUGUGAAAAGACUGCCACAUCUCUUUUUGCUACAGCUGAAAACGGGAGUUCGCUCUCUUUCUCUCCCUCAGAAUUGCCUUUUGAUGUUCUUUCCUCCUGGAUUGGAGAACUGCAUGUGAGAAUCUGACUCUGAACUUGCCUUUUGCCAAGAUUCUGCUAAUGGGCUGUUGCUAUAUUUGAUCAGUUAAUUAGUGAUAGCUACUGUGUCUAUUAUUUUGUUAAGUUUGAAUUAGGGUAUUCCAACUCCUCCUUCUUUGCCUAUUUUAUUAUAGUGGAUGAAUAAAGUGCUGAAAAAUGUGUUGCUGGAAAAGC